GUUCAUGACAGCUUGACUUACAACAGCCAAAACCUGAAAACAGCUUGAGAGUCCUUUAAUGUGUGAGUGAUUGAAUAAUCUGUGAUAUGUCUGUACCAUGGAAUACUACUAAAAGGACAGAAAGGAAUAAACUACUGAUACGUGCAACAACUUCGAUGAAUCGACAUAGCAUUAUGAGUUGCCCCUUGGCAGUCUGGAUGGCACAGGAUCCGUCACACUCCGGCACCCUCUGGCGCAGCGGGACAGCCCGGGCUGUGGAGUCCGAUAGUCCCAAGGGAGAGGCCCAGCUCUGCCAGCCUGUAGCCGCGUGACCUUGGCUCAGACCACAGAAUCUCUACGUCCACAUGUGGGUUUGUGUUUAGCACACCAUCGGGCCGAGUGGAGCUGCUCUAACCGCCCCAGGCUAACGAGAAAGGAGGAUGGACUUCAACACAGGAGACGUGAUCAUUGUCAAGCGAAGCACAAACAACCUCCCCACAGCCCGUGGAAACACAGGUGCCAUGAUAUUACAAUAGAGGCUAUUUAGAAAAGAGGAAUUUUGUUAGCUUUGUGGGUUUGUUUAUAUUCUGUAAAUUUGUAAAAGUUUAUCUGAAUGUUGAUGUUUGCACAGUGUUGUUUAUACUUAAAUUUAUAUAUUUGCUUUGGUUUUAAGGAGAUUAUGUUUAAGAUAAUAUCUGCACAUUUUUAAGUUAACGAUGAUAAUAAAAUAAUUUGUCAGCAUUUUUCCUUUAAAAGGGGUCCCUAUAUCAC
rnacentral:lncRNA from 1 species